GUAGUCCUAGCCGUAAACGUUGGGUGCUAGGUGUGGGGCGGCGAUUGACCCGCUCUGUGCCGAAGCUAACGCAUUAAGCACCCCGCCUGGGGAGUACGGCCGCAAGGUUAAAACUCAAAGGAAUUGACGGGGGCCCGCACAAGCGGCGGAGCAUGUGGCUUAAUUCGACGCGACGCGAAGAACCUUACCAGGGCUUGACAUGCGGGGUGAAGCCGGCGAAAGCCGGUCCUCCUUCGGGAGCCCGUACAGGUGCUGCAUGGUCGUCGUCAGCUCGUGCCGUGAGGUGUUGCCUUAAGUGGCGCAACGAGCGCAACCCCUGUCCUAUGUUGCCAGCGGGUCAUGCCGGGGACUCAUAGGAGACUGCCGGUGCCAAACCGGA
rnacentral:rRNA from 1 species